ACCUCAAAAAAUAAAAAAAUCCCACCGGCCCUCACAUUUCUCCCCGUCGUUCCCCAUUCUUCCUUGGUCGUCGCCAGCUCCCUCUCCCCACCUCCUCGGGCCACCCCUCCCCUUCGUACCCACCGCCAGCAACAGGUUCGCAACCCCUGCUCUUCCCCGCCUUUUCGUCGAAUCCGGCCGCCCAAGUGGCCGAGGAGGUCCCCGAGCUCGGCAUGCACGGGAGCAUCCCAGCGAUAGGCUCCGUCGGAGGUGCGAGACUUCCACGCCCCUGCUCUUCCCCGUCCCUCUUCGAAUCCGCUCGCCGAAGUGCCGAAGGAUGCGCUCGAGCUCAGCAUGCUCACGGGCGACCCAGCGCGGAUGCCCGCAACAAGACAACAAGGAGCGGGCGUGGGUGCGCAAAAAUAUAUGGGCACAGUUCGAUGCCUCCACUGGCGUGCCUCUGUUUGAUGUGCUAUUCAAGAUCCCUGUACAAUUGUGUUAUUCAAGAUACAAUGGCACUCGAUGAUGCUUGCUAAGAAGGUCUGCAAUAUGCACUGGACUGUUGCUUGCCAGAUGACUGGAAGAUGGAUAAAUUUGCUUGCAAGGCUCUUGAUAAUAUAUCCACUUUCAUCAAAUGCUUAAGGGUAUGGUCAAUUGGAGAAGACAUUACUAUGACUACAAAGAUCUGUUUUUUCAGGUGAUGAAUUGUAACCUUAUAUUCUUUAUUACUUGGAAUUGAAAAUCACUGGAAGCAAUCCGUAAUUACUUCGGAGAGAAUCUUUUACU